rnacentral:rRNA from 1 species
AGAGUUUGAUCCUGGCUCAGAUUGAACGCUAGCGGGAUGCUUUACACAUGCAAGUCGAACGGCAGCGCGGGGGCAACCCUGGCGGCGAGUGGCGAACGGGUGAGUAAUACAUCGGAACGUGUCCUGGAGUGGGGGAUAGCCCGGCGAAAGCCGGAUUAAUACCGCAUACGCUCUGUGGAGGAAAGCGGGGGAUCUUCGGACCUCGCGCUCAAGGGGCGGCCGAUGGCAGAUUAGCUAGUUGGUGGGGUAAAGGCCUACCAAGGCGACGAUCUGUAGCUGGUCUGAGAGGACGACCAGCCACACUGGGACUGAGACACGGCCCAGACUCCUACGGGAGGCAGCAGUGGGGAAUUUUGGACAAUGGGGGCAACCCUGAUCCAGCAAUGCCGCGUGUGUGAAGAAGGCCUUCGGGUUGUAAAGCACUUUUGUCCGGAAAGAAAACCGCUUCUCUAAUACAGAGGCGGGAUGACGGUACCGGAAGAAUAAGCACCGGCUAACUACGUGCCAGCAGCCGCGGUAAUUC